GGAUGUGAGGGCGAUCUGACUGCUCCAUUGAUCACCAGGGUUGAUUUGGCUGAUCUGGCUGGCUAGGCGGGUGUCCCCUUCCUCCCUCACCGCUCCAUGUGUGUCCCUCCUGAAGCUGUGCGCUCGGUCAAAGAGGAUGACCAUCCCUGCUAGAGGAGGACCGGUCUUCAGUCAAGGGUGUAUAAGUAGCUGUGCUCCCCUGCUAGAACCUCCAGACAAGCUCUCAAGGUCCAUAAAUGGAAAGGUUUAGUUGUCCCUAAAGCCCAGCAUAUGUAAAACUGGUGCUGGGAAUUGUCCAGAUUCU
rnacentral:snRNA from 1 species